AUUGAACGCUGGCGGCAGGCCUAACACAUGCAAGUCGAACGGUAACAGGAAGCAGCUUGCUGCUUCGCUGACGAGUGGCGGACGGGUGAGUAAUGUCUGUGAAGCUGCCUGAUGGAGGGGGAUAACUACUGGAAACGGUAGCUAAUACCGCAUAAUGUCGCAGGACCAAAGAGGGGGACCUUCGGGCCUCUUGCCAUCGGAUGUGCCCAGAUGGGAUUAGCUUGUUGGUGGGGUAACGGCUUACCAAGGCGACGAUCCCUAGCUGGUCUGAGAGGAUGACCAGCCACACUGGAACUGAGACACGGUCCAGACUCCUACGGGAGGCAGCAGUGGGGAAUAUUGCACAAUGGGCGCAAGCCUGAUGCAGCCAUGCCGCGUGUAUGAAGAAGGCCUUCGGGUUGUAAAGUACUUUCAGCGGGGAGGAAGGGAGUAAAGUUAAUACCUUGGCUCAUUGACGUUACCCGCAGAAGAAGCACCGGCUAACUCCGUG
rnacentral:rRNA from 1 species